CCAGGCUUACGCACACGUGUUUCAACAAGUGCAUUGAGAACAAGUACAAGGAAUCUGAGUUAAACAUGGGUGAAAACAGUUGCAUUGACCGUUGCGUUU